rnacentral:rRNA from 1 species
AUUGAACGCUGGCGGCAGGCCUAACACAUGCAAGUCGAGCGAGCGGCGGACGGGUGAGUAAUGUAUGGGGACCGCCCGAUAGAGGGGGAUAACUACUGGAAACGGUGGCUAAUACCGCAUACUAUGGGAUAACCCAUAUGGGAUUAGCUAGUAGGGGGGGUAAAGGCUCACCUAGGCGACGAUCUCUAGCUGGUCUGAGAGGGGGACCGGCCACAUUGGGACUGAGAUACGGCACAGACUCCUACGGAGUCAGCAGUGGGGAAUAUUGCACAAUGGGCGCAAGCCUGACCCAGCAACGCCGCGUGAAGGAAGAGGGUCUUCGGAUUGUAAACUUCUUUAGACAGGGCCGCGGUACCUGUAGAAUAAGCCCCGGCUAACUACGUGCCAGCAGCCGCGGUAAUUC